UUUUUAGACAUAGCGAACGGGUGAGUAACGCGUGAAUUAUCUACCUUUUAAUUCAGGAUAAUUAUUUUAUAUAAAAAUACUGAAUAAUUUAAAUAAAGUUUUAAUAACGUUAAAAGAUGAGUUUGCGUAAGAUUAGGUAGUUGGUAGUUUAAAAGACUACCAAGCCGACUAUCUUUAGCUGGUUUGAAAGAAUGAUCAGCCACAUUGGGACUGAGACACGGCCCAAACUUUUUUAAAGGCAGCAGUGGGGAAUUUUGGACAAUGAGCGAAAGCUUGAUCCAGCAAUACCAAGUGAGUGAAGAAGGCUAAUUAGGUUGUAAAGCUCUUUCAUUAAGGAGGAAAAUGACAGUACUUAAAAAAGAAGUUCCGGCUAAUACCCGUGCCAGCAGCCGCGGUAAUACGGGAGGAGCGAGCAUUAUUCGGAAUGAUUAGGCGUAAAGGGUUUGUAGGUGGUUUUUUAAGUUGAAAAAAACAAAUUAAAGCUCAACUUUAUAAAUUUUUUCAAAACUGAAAAACUUGAGUAUAAAUAGAGGAUAAUGGAAUUUCUAUUGGAGGGAUAAAAUAUGUUGAUAAUAGAAGGAAGAUCAAAAGCGAAGGCAAUUAUCUGGGUAUAUACUGACACUGAGAAACGAAAGCUUGGGUAGCGAACGGGAUUAGAGACCCCGGUAGUCCAUGCUGUAAACGAUGAGUGCUCAUAUUUAGAAUUUUUAGAUAUCAAGCUAACGCGUUAAGCACUCCGCCUGAAAAGUAUAAUCGCAAGAUUGAAAUUCAAAGGAAUUGACGGGAGUCUACACAAGCGGUGGAGCAUGUGGUUUAAUUCGAUAAUACGCGCAG
rnacentral:rRNA from 1 species